rnacentral:rRNA from 1 species
GAUGAACGCUAGCUACAGGCUUAACACAUGCAAGUCGAGGGGUAACGAGAGGAAAGCUUGCUUUCCUUGUCGACGACCGGCGCACGGGUGAGUAACGCGUAUCCAACCUGCCCCCAACUAGGGAAUAACCUUGCGAAAGUAAGACUAAUACCCUAUAAUUUCCUCAGAUGUCAUCUGACGAGGAAUAAAGAUUUAUCGGUUGUGGAUGGGGAUGCGUCUGAUUAGCUUGUUGGCGGGGUAACGGCCCACCAAGGCAACGAUCAGUAGGGGUUCUGAGAGGAAGGUCCGCCACAUUGGAACUGAGACACGGUCCAAACGCCUACGGGAGGCAGCAGUGAGGAAUAUUGGUCAAUGGGCGGAAGCCUGAACCAGCCAAGUAGCGUGAAGGAUGACGGCCCUAUGGGUUGUAAACUGCUUUUAUACAGGAAUAAAGUUAGCCACGUGUGGUUAUCUGUAGGUACUGUAUGAAUAAGGACCGGCUAAUUCCGUGCCAGCCGCCGCGGUAA